rnacentral:rRNA from 1 species
AACUGCUUUUUAGGUGAAUAAAGAGGGGCACGCGUGCCCUGUUGCAUGUAGCCUUAGAAUAAGGACCGGCUAAUUCCGUGCCAGCAGCCGCGGUAAUACGGAAGGUCCGGGUGUUAUCCGGAUUUAUUGGGUUUAGAGGGAGCGUAGGCCGCAGGUUAAGUGUGUUGUGAAAAGCAGUCGCCCAACGUCUGCCUUGCAGCGCAAACUGUCCUGCUUGAGUGCGCACAACGCAGGCGGAAUUCGUCGUGUAGCGGUGAAAUGCUUAGAUAUGACGAAGAACUCCGAUUGCGAAGGCAGCUUGCGGGAGCGCAACUGACGCUGAAGCUCGAAAGUGCGGGUAUCGAACAGGAUUAGAUACCCUGGUAGUCC